rnacentral:rRNA from 1 species
AACAUCUCUUCUGUUAGUUUUGAAGUAUGGCCUGCCCACUGACUUAUUUGUUGAAGGGCCGCGGUAUUUUGACCGUGCAAAGGUAGCAUAAUCAUUAGUUCUUUAAUUGUGAUCUGGUAUGAAUGGCUUGACGAGGUAUAAUCUGUCUUAAUUGUAUUGUUGAUUGAAUUUAGUUUUUGAGUUAAAAUUCUUAGAUGUUUUUAUGGGACGAGAAGACCCUAUAGAGUUUUACAUUUAUUUCUUCAUUACUUUUAUUUGUUUGUUUUUAUUGUAAAGUAGUUUGAAUGUUUUGUUGGGGUGAUGGGAGGAAUUUUUUUAACUCCUCUUUGUUUUUAUAUACUUAUUUGUGUUUUUUUUGAUCCAUUUGUUUUGAUUAUAAGAUUAAAUUACCUUAGGGAUAACAGCGUUAUCUUCCCUGAGAGUUCUUAUUGGCGGGAAGGUUUGCGACCUCGAUGUUGGAUUAAGAUUAAUUUUCGGUGCAGAAGCUGGAAUUGAUUAGGUCYGUUCS